GGGACCGUAGCUUAGGUGGAUAGAGCCGUUUGUGAAAACAUUCGACGCAGGUUCGAGUCCUGCCGGUCCCU
rnacentral:tRNA from 1 species